rnacentral:lncRNA from 1 species
UCCUUAACCUUCGUUUGUCUUCUCAUCCUUCCUCAAUCUUGUGAAUACUUCUUUACGUUUGUUUGAGACCUCUGUUCGUCAUCUCCAGUCUCACAUCUCCAUUCCGAUAGCAUUUUUUGAACGCUAAGAAAUGUACAGAUACGAUAGCAAUGUUUGAAUGAUAUUAUUUAAAUUAACUAUAGCACUACUUUCGUACUAUGAUAGGUCAUUAUACAAUAAAUAAAUAAAAAAUUAUAACUAAAAUUAAAAAAAUAAAUAAAAAUUAAAUGAAAAUUGUUUUAUAAUUUAAAAUAAAAUAAAUUUUAUUUAUAAAUUAAAAUUGGUUUACAAAUACAUUCCGGUUUACAAUACUAAACCAGAAAUUAAAAAAUAAAAUCAAAGCACACAAUUUUCCUUACUCGGUUUACACUAAACCAAAUCUAAAAGAAAUCUAAACCUAAAAAAAAAGUCGAGCCGCCUCCUUCAUGAGCCUUGCGCCUCUUCCAACCUUGACCGGAGACGUUGUCGUCUCUGCUUCCGGCGUCAGUGUCUCCUCCACUGCAGCUUCCGUGCCUCCUCCCACUUCCCGUCAACCAUCUUUUGACUCUCCACCUUACUCAAGCUUCGUCUGCCUAAUUAGCCUUCCUCAACCUUCGUUUGUCUUCUCAUCCUUCCUCAAUCUUGUGAAUACUUCUUUACGUUUGUUUGAGACCUCUGUUCGUCAUCUCCAGUCUCACAUCUCCAUUCACGAAUCUAGAUCUGAAAAAAAAAAUGUGAAACAAAAAUCUUUGAGAUUAGAAGAUAAAAGAGAGUAAUGGGGGUAGAGGAAGAAUCGCUUUUGAUUGAGGCAGAAGCAGUGGUGGUAGUGGAGAAGAUGGUCGCUUGUGGUUGAGUAACGAGGAGGAGGAGGAGGAUGCGAUUGUGGUCCGCGAAGGUGGGGAACAAGGAGGAGGAGGCGGCGGAUGUGAUGGUGGCGUCGGGCGGAGGUGAUGGUGGGUGAGGUAUAAGUAGUGGUAGACGAGGUGACUGUGAUGAUGGUUUGUGUUUGUAGAAUGAGGAUUGCUAUGGUGAAGAAAGAAGAAGAGUAGAAAGAUGAAAUAAAAUAUCAGAAGAGAUGAGAAGAGAGGAACGUGAGAG